rfam:Metarhizium anisopliae BRIP 53293 unplaced genomic scaffold Scaffold_43, whole genome shotgun sequence.
ACAUACGAUCAUAGCCGCUAGCAAAGCUCAGGAUCCCGUCCGAUCUCCUACGAUAACCUAGUGAGCGCUGGAUUAGUAGCUAGGUCGGUGACGACUAGCGAAUACCCAGUGUUGUAUGUU